GUGUGUACUACCAUGCCUGGUUUAUGAGGUGCUGGAGAUGAAACUCUGCAACUUGGGUGUGCUAGGCAAGUGUUGCGCAGCUGAGUUAUACCCCAGCCACAUGAGAUUUUGUACUUCUCUGAACUGGCUUGGUGAGGCCUUGGGUUUGAUGCCCAAGGGGAAAGAAAAAUUAAGUGACAUCACUAAGAAGGAAGAAUGAUCAGGAUGUGAGCCCCCAGAUUAUUGCUCCACUCAUCAUGCCUGCUUGUUGCCAUCUUCCCUACCUUGAUGGUGAUAGACUUAGAACCCUAAGUCCAAAUAAACCCUUCCUUCUAUA